rnacentral:sRNA from 1 species
CAAUUAUAUUAGCAGCCAUGAAAUCGCUAAAUGCUGCGAUCAAUUCAAAGCCUGGA